GGCUCUCACGUUGCCGCAUGCACCGAUGAGGGGGAGCUGUGCAGUGCAGACACGGAAACAUACAUCUACAUGUUUGUUAUUUGUUUCCUGCAGGCCAAUAAAACGAGAAGAUAUUAAUUUAUAUUGAAUUCAUGGGUAACCUCCCCAUUUUCUUUUGCUAUUUCAUCCUCACUUAUCAGGUUCACUGAAGAAAUGGAACUGAUGGUCACACAGAUUUAUGGAGGCAGACAUCCAAACCUAGAUUGGACCUCCAGGAGAGACGAGUGUGGCCACUGGGACGUGCCCAUUUAUGGACUUAAAGGUGCCCCAACCAACCUUCUUAUCAAGCCUCUCUUCCACCGCUACCACCUCUUAGCAAGCCUCUGGUGGGACGGGUUCAUCCUCUGCGCUGAGACUUAAUUAUGAUAUGCCACAGCAACGUCAGCCCCAAGUAUUGGCUGAGGUGGAGUCAACUUUAGCAGCAGUGAUGCAGCAUCAUAAUGCACAAUCUAACCUAAGCCAUGCACAUGUUGGAUUAUUUGUUGCACAUGCAGCCCAGCUCCAGUCAGUCUGUGAAGAUGUCAUGGUCAGUUCUUUACAGGUCUGUGUGGUAGUUGGUUGUUUAGGCUAUAGACUUGUUCACAUUUGUGUCACGGGGGACAUGAAUGAAAGACUCAACGCUGAUAAUAUUUCAUCUUCUCUAUUUGCAUAAAUCAAAUUUAAACCUUGUUUUCUCACCCAAUGGUUGGUGUCAGCACAACAGAGCUAAGAUUUGACAUUUACUUGGUUUAUUCUAGUUCAUUAACUCUGAAAACAUUUAAAAAUCACACUCCUGCUGUGGACCCGUUUUUGUGGGGAGUACCAAGAUCAUAAGGCGCAUAAACCAACCUCAUGUUAAGCCAACACCUCCGUCUCCUGCAGAGGAGCUCAGCAAUGGGGAAAUCUACAGGUCGGCAAGAAAGCAAAAGCUCAGUCC
rnacentral:lncRNA from 1 species